rnacentral:misc_RNA from 1 species
AAAGUCGUAACAAGGUUUCCGUAGGUGAACCUGCGGAAGGAUCAUUUCCAAAUCCUGGAGUUCGCUCCAAAACCGAGGAUGCCCAGUUUUCCUGGCUCCUCAAAAUCUGCCUGUUGUAUUGUUUGUCAAAAUUAGUGCUAAUAUAUAACAACUUUUAACAAUGGAUCUCUUGGCUCUU